rnacentral:rRNA from 1 species
UACGUAGGAGACGAGCGUUGUCCGGAGUUACUGGGCGUAAAGGGCGCGCAGGCGGCCGCCCGCGUGUGUGGUGAAAGCUCCUGGCUUAACUAGGAGAGGUCCAUGCAGACGGGGUGGCUUGAGCGUCGGAGAGGGGCAUGGAAUUCCGGGUGGAGCGGUGAAAUGCGUAGAGAUUCGGAGGAACACCAAUGGCGAAGGCAGUGCCCUGGCCGACGGCUGACGCUCAGGCGCGAAAGCGUGGGGAGCAAACAGG